rnacentral:rRNA from 1 species
AAUGAACGCUGGCGGCGUGGAUUAGGCAUGCAAGUCGAACGCGAAAGUUCCCUUCGGGGAGCGAGUAGAGUGGCGAAAGGGUGAGUAAUGCUUGGAUGACCUGCCCUCGAGACGGGGACAACAGUUCGAAAGGACUGCUAAUACCCGAUAGUCCGGUUUAGAUGCGUCUAGAUCGGUAAAUGGUGCUUCCGCUCGAGGAGGGGUUCAAGUCCUAUCAGCUUGUUGGUGAGGUAACGGCUCACCAAGGCGAUGACGGGUAGCUGGUCUGAGAGGAUGAUCAGCCACACUGGAACUGAGACACGGUCCAGACUCCUACGGGAGGCAGCAGUGGGGAAUCUUGCGCAAUGGGCGAAAGCCUGACGCAGCGACGCCGCGUGAGUGAUGAAGGCCUUCGGGUUGUAAAGCUCUGUGGGAGGAGACGAAUAAGUCGUAGCGAAUAGCUCCGAUGAUGACGGUAUCCUUUUAGCAAGCACCGGCUAACUCUGUG